AGCGUAUAUUAAAGUUGUUGCAGUUAAAAGCUCGUAGUUGAAUUUCGGGGUCAGUAGAUUGGUCAUGCCACUGGUAUGUACUGGUCUCACUGAUUCCUCCUUCCUGAUGAGCCGUAAUGCCAUUAAUUUGGUGUUGCGAGGAAUCUGGACUGUUACUUUGAAAAAAUUAGAGUGUUUAAAGCAGGCUAACGCUUGAAUACAUUAGCAUGGAAUAAUGAAAUAGGACGUUCGAUCUUAUUUUGUUGGUUUCUAAGAUUGACGUAAUGAUUAAUAGGGAUAGUUGGGGGCAUUAGUAUUCAAUUGUCAGAGGUGAAAUUCUUGGAUUUAUUAAAGACUAACUACUGCGAAAGCAUUUGCCAAGGAUGUUUUCAUUAAUCAGGAACGAAAGUUAGGGGAUCGAAGACGAUCAGAUACCGUCGUAGUCUUAACCAUAAACUAUGCCGACUAGGGAUCAGACGAUGUUAUUUUUGACUCGUUCGGCGCCUUACGGGAAAC
rnacentral:rRNA from 2 species